rnacentral:rRNA from 1 species
AGAGUUUGAUCCUGGCUCAGGACGAACGCUGGCGGCGUGCCUAACACAUGCAAGUCGAGCGGAGACAGUGAGUAGCUUGCUAUGAGCUGUUUUAGCGGCGGACGGGUGAGUAACGCGUGAGCAACCUUUCCCAGACAGGGGAAUAACACACCGAAAGGUGUACUAAUACCGCGUAAGACCACGGGAUCACAUGGUUCUGGGGUAAAAGAUUUAUCGGUUUGGGGUGGGCUCGCGUCCGAUUAGGUAGUUGGUGAGGUAACGGCCCACCAAGCCGACGAUCGGUAGCCGACCUGAGAGGGUGAUCGGCCACAUUGGGACUGAGACACGGCCCAAACUCCUACGGGAGGCAGCAGUGGGAAUAUUGGGCAAUGGAGGAGACUCUGACCCAGCAACGCCGCGUGGAGGAAGAAGGUUUUCGGAUCGUAAACUCCUGUCCUUGGAGACGAGUAGAAGACGGUAUCCAAGGAGGAAGCCCCGGCUAACUACGUGCCAGCAGCCGCGGUAAUACGUAGGGGGCAAGCGUUGUCCGGAAUAAUUGGGCGUAAAGGGCGCGUAGGCGGCUCGGUAAGUCUGGAGUGAAAGUCCUGCUUUUAAGGUGGGAAUUGCUUUGGAUACUGUCGGGCUUGAGUGCAGGAGAGGUUAGUGGAAUUCCCAGUGUAGCGGUGAAAUGCGUAGAGAUUGGGAGGAACACCAGUGGCGAAGGCGACUAACUGGACUGUAACUGACGCUGAGGCGCGAAAGUGUGGGGAGCAAACAGGAUUAGAUACCCUGGUAGUCCACACUGUAAACGAUGAAUGCUAGGUGUAGGGGGUAUCGACCCCUUCUGUGCCGCAGUCAACACAAUAAGCAUUCCGCCUGGGGAGUACGGCCGCAAGGUUGAAACUCAAAGGAAUUGACGGGGGCCCGCACAAGCAGCGGAGCAUGUGGUUUAAUUCGACGCAACGCGAAGAACCUUACCAGGUCUUGACAUCCACUUAAGCUUACAGAGAUGUAAGGUGUGCUUGCACAAAGUGAGACAGGUGGUGCAUGGUUGUCGUCAGCUCGUGUCGUGAGAUGUUGGGUUAAGUCCCGCAACGAGCGCAACCCUUAUCUUCAGUUACUAACGCGUGAGGGUGAGGACUCUGAAGAGACUGCCGGGGACAACUCGGAGGAAGGUGGGGACGACGCCAAAUCAUCAUGCCCCUUAUGACCUGGGCUACACACGUGCUACAAUGGCCACGACAGAGAGAAGCGAAAUCGCAAGGUAGGGCGGAACUCAAAAAAGUGGUCCCAGUUCGGAUUGUGGGCUGCAACCCGCCCACAUGAAGUCGGAGUUGCUAAUAAUCGCGGAUCAGCAUGCCGCGGUGAAUACGUUCCCGGGCCUUGUACACACCGCCCGUCACACCAUGGGAGUUGGGAGUGCCCAAAGCCGGUGAGGCAACCGCAAGGAGCCAGCAGUCUAAGGCAAGACCAAUGACUGGGGUGAAGUCGUACAAGGUA